UGUGGACAAAGGAAAGGAUUCAAGUGAGAUAUAAGUUUGAAAAAGAUCAUGGAUUUGGAUAUGGAAAACUCUUGGAAAGAAUGGAAUCAAUUGUGAAGGCACCAAAAGGAAAAAAGAAACAACCAAAACAAAAGGAAAAAGAGAAGAGAAUGGAAAAAUCAUCAAUAGGUUCUAGUUCUACAACUUCUCGAAAUGACAUGAUGGGCUUUUUGAGCAAAUUUGGAGAUUUGGCAAAAACACUUGCCUCGAAUGUUAAAGAGAUGUAUGGCAUGUUAGAACAAGCAAAAGA